GUCACAUAAGACUUAAUUGGUCUGUGGUUUCAUCAUCUAAACCAUAAUCUGAAACCUCGGCAAAAACAUUACAACGUAUAUUGAAUGACGCUUCACGAUCUCCACGUGAACAAAGCUGUGUUAGCUCAUCUAAACCUAUUGUAGUUUCCUCAAUCCGCAUACAGCCGAAGAAAGCAAGCAACGAAACUGCUCACCGUUGAGGGGUGCCUUGUCAGAAGUGAAGCAGCAUAUCUGUGAUUCAAGGUCCCCCUCUAGUGGUGCCUAGCGGGCACUGGACCAUUGAGGAACAGAAUGAAGAUAGAAAGGUGAUCAAGCCUUUUCUGUGCAGGUCCCUAAAUUAUGAAUUUCUUUACCAGAGAACAUCAGAGCAGCAACCUCAUCGGGCUCCACAUUGUCACCAUAUGAGAGGCAGGGAUUGUGGAGCACGACACUGCAGGAAA